CCUACGGGUGGCAGCAGUGAGGAAUAUUGGUCAAUGGACGAGAGUCUGAACCAGCCAAGUAGCGUGAAGGAUGACUGCCCUAUGGGUUGUAAACUUCUUUUAUAAAGGAAUAAAACGAGGCACGUGUGCCUUUUUGCAUGUACUUUAUGAAUAAGGAUCGGCUAACUCAGUGCCAGCAGCCGCGGUAAUACGGAGGAUCCGAGCGUUAUCCGGAUUUAUUGGGUUUAAAGGGAGCGUAGGUGGGUUGGUAAGUCAGUUGUGAAAGUUUGGGGCUCAACCGUAAAAUUGCAAUUGAUACUGGUAGGCUUGAGUACAGGUGAGGUAGGCGGAAUGCGUGGUGUAGCGGUGAAAUGCUUAGAUAUCACGAAGAACCCCGAUUGCGAAGGCAGCUUACUAGACUGUGACUGACAUUGAUGCUCGAAAGUGUGGGGAUCAAACAGGAUUAGAUACCCUUGUAGUC
rnacentral:rRNA from 1 species